rnacentral:rRNA from 1 species
GAGCGGCGAACGGGUGAGUAACACGUGAGCAACCUACCCUUCACUUCGGGAUAAGCCUCGGAAACGGGGUCUAAUACCGGAUAUCACUCCUUACUUCAUGGUUUGGGGUUGAAAGUUCUGGCGGUGGGGGAUGGGCUCGCGGCCUAUCAGCUUGUUGGUGGGGUAAUGGCCUACCAAGGCGUCGACGGGUAGCCGGCCUGAGAGGGCGACCGGCCACACUGGGACUGAGACACGGCCCAGACUCCUACGGGAGGCAGCAGUGGGGAAUAUUGCGCAAUGGACGGAAGUCUGACGCAGCAACGCCGCGUGAGGGAUGACGGCCUUCGGGUUGUAAACCUCUUUCAGCAGGGACGAAGCGAGAGUGACGGUACCUGCAGAAGAAGGACCGGCCAACUACGUGCCAGCAGCCGCGGUAAUACGUAGGGUCCGAGCGUUGUCCGGAAUUAUUGGGCGUAAAGGGCUCGUAGGCGGUUCGUCGCGUCGGGAGUGAAAACUCGGAGCUCAACUCCGAGCCUGCUUCCGAUACGGGCAGA